CUGGGAAGCUGGAAAGAAUCCAAAGGGUUAACUCUAGAUCAACUCCUCGUUUUGUAGGAGAGGAACCUGCGGCAGGGAGAUGUCAGUGACAGAAGCUUGAAUUCCCAGUCAUCAUUCCACGCUCUGUCCGUCUAAAGGUAGACCACGCAUUGCCAGCUGCCUUCCUGACUUCCACCUGUCACCACCAUCCUUUGAGCCCCUGAGGAUUAAAAUGGGAGAAUCACGUGGAAAGAGGAGCCUGGUGGGCUAUCAUCUGUGGGUCACACAGAGUCAGACACGACUGAAGUGAUUAAGCAUGCAUUCACUUUGCUGUAUUGCGACGGUUUGGCCAUACAUCGACAUGGAUCAGCCACAGUGAAGAAUCAAGACUCAGGGAAGCCAAGUGUCGGAUGCACAACUACACAGCCUAUGAUGGGGGAAGCUAGAACCAGACCCAAGACUUGCACUUCGUUUAUUUUUUGAGCCUCAAAGACUAGGAAUUACACGACUGAAAAGAACGCAGCCAUAAGGAGACAUGAAGGACUUCCCUAGCGGCACAGUGGAUACGAAUCCACCUGCCAACGCAGAGGACACGGGUUGCAUCCCUCGUCUGGGAAGAUUCCACGUGCCGCAGAGCAACGAAGGCCCAUGCACUGCGGCGAUUGGAUCCUGCACACUCUUUUAAGGGCCCACAAGCCGUAAGUACUGAGACCACAUACCACAACUACCGAGUCCACGUGCUCCAGCUACCGGAGCCUGUGUGCCUAGAGCCUGUGCCCCCCAGCAAGAGAAGCCACUGCAGUGAGAAGCCUGGGCAUCGCAGCAAAGAGCAGCCCCCGUUCACUACAACUGGAGAGAGCCCUCAUCCAGCAACAAAGACCCAGCCUAGCCCAAAAUAAGUAAAUAUGUAAUUUUUAAGAAUAACGAAGACAUGAGUUACAGAGUUGGGAACCUGUCCCAAAAUGAUCGUCUUUCUUUUCUAGUGUACUUUGUACAGUGUACACAGCAAAUCCUCGACAAUGAUGAUGAUGAAUGAGGACCAGGUCUCAUGUUUCUCUGCUUUCAAUGCUUUUUUUUUUUUUUUUUACCAUUUUGAUCUCUAUGUGUGUGUAUGUGCUCAAUUGCUCAGUUGUGUCUGACCCUUUGCGACCCCCUGGUCUGUAGCCCACAAGGCUCCUCUGUCCAAGGAAUUGUCCAGGCAAGAAUAUUGGAGUGGGUUGCCAUUUCCGACUUCAGGGGAUCUUCCAGACCCAGGAAUUGAACCUGGGUCUCCUGCAUUGCAGGCAGAUUCUUUACCAUCUAGGGAGUAUAUAGCCCAGCUAUUUCUGGGUUUCCAGACUUUUGGAAACCUGACUCAUUCAGUUUAGAGUUCUUACGAUGAGUGGGUAUUCAGUAGCUGCCUUUCAAUAGUGAUGGUAAUAACUUCAAAGGGUUAGAGAUCUACCCCCAAGCACACAUAGGUAUUUUGAAACUUUUCUAAAUUUAAGGAAGUGUGUUCUCAAAAUAAUACCAACUAUUGCAUAAAAGAAGCAUUCUCUGGUCAGGUAGUUUGGAAAAUACCGGAUGAAACAGAAUUAAACUGUUGGGUUGACUUGUUUUGUUUUUACUGGAUCUUUAAAGCACGCUGUGAAUCCUAAAUUCCUAAAGGAGGACGGUAAAAUAUGUAGAAUUUCCCAG
ensembl:lncRNA